GGGGCUUGUGGGUUUAGGGGGAUGAGGACAGAGCCGCCCCCAGCUGGAGGCUUCUUGCCCAGCAGCCUGUGUCCAAGGGGUCAAGGGCACGGACGUUGAGGAACAGAAGCAGGUCCUGCAGGUCAGAGGGGUUCUUGGAGUGGGGGGGCAGGGGCGCCACCAGCCCCAGGGAGGAGCGCGUGCUGACCUGACCCAGGUGGUGCAGGCAGAGAAGAGCAGAACCACGGUGCGAGGAGCCUUGGAAUAAGAACAGCCCCACGGUGGAUUUUUUUUUUUUUUUUUUGUAAAGUCAAAUGCCUGGUUGUAAGAUUUCUGCACGACUUGGAGCAAACCAGUGCACCUCUGGAGCGGCACUGCCUGCGGGGGUUAAGCCGGCCGGUCAGCCUUCGCCCGCAGCUGCGGUCCUGGGUGGGGGUCACCGGCUCGCAGACCGUCAAUUCCUGAGCGGAGGCCCCGCGAGCUUGACCUCCUCUCUGUUCCGCGUCGGAAAGUUCGGGGACUCUACAGAGGCGGGAGGCUGGGGGGGGAGUGGGCGGACGUGCAGAUGCCUGUGUGUAUGUGUGCGUGUGCGUGUGUGUACACACGGAUGGCGGGAACUGGCUUUGCGGUGAUGGAGCCCAAGCCUCCUGCUCUGCCACCUGCACCUGUGAUUCAGCCAAGGACCCAGGCCCGAGGCCGGCGGUGCUGUCGCCCACGGGCGCGACAGGAUGGCCAUCGCAGCUCACGGGGGAUGCAGAGACGAGAGGUGCUGGCACAGCUCAGCUCUGCAGCAGGGAGACUGUGUGGGAAGACGGGCUUGGGGUGCAGCCACCGCUGGCCUCCCGACGGAACACGGCCUCAGGCUGACCCCAGCGCGUCCUCAGGGGCACGGGAAGCCCAGGCCUCCGACUGCUGGCGGGAGCUUCCGUGGGGUCACGGCCAGGGGCAAGCGCAAGGCUGUUUCUGCUCCGGGCACGGGGAGGGAGGGAAAGCUGAGCAUAGGGAGGCCACAAGUGUUGGCUGCAGGGUCGCUGCUCCGAGAGAGAGAGGAGCUCAGGAGUGCGGGACAAGUAUCCCCCGUGUUCCAGGUCCUGCUCCCUCCCUGGGCAUCUGGGUACCGCCACCUGGUCCCCCAGAGAUGCAAGCCCACUGGUGGUGAAGUCGACGUGUGCUGGGUUGGAAACCUGAGCAGGGAGCAUGAAGGAGACCAGCAGGCCCGGGAGGCCAUCGAAGGCCUUCGGUGCCCCUUGAGACGUGAGUUGGGGCAGCCGGUCAAACCACAGCCCUGGGGAGGCCGCGGACUAGGACCUGAGGGAGGAGCAUGA
rnacentral:lncRNA from 1 species